rnacentral:rRNA from 1 species
CACGUCGGUAACCUACCCUCGGGAGGGGGAUAACCCCGGGAAACUGGGGCUAAUCCCCCAUAGGCCUGGGGUACUGGAAGGUCCCCAGGCCGAAAGGGAGCCGUAAGGCUCCGCCCGAGGAUGGGCCGGCGGCCGAUUAGGUAGUUGGUGGGGUAACGGCCCACCAAGCCGAAGAUCGGUACGGGCCGUGAGAGCGGGAGCCCGGAGAUGGACACUGAGACACGGGUCCAGGCCCUACGGGGCGCAGCAGGCGCGAAACCUCCGCAAUGCGGGAAACCGCGACGGGGGGACCCCCAGUGCCGUGCCUCUGGCACGGCUUUUCCGGAGUGUAAAAAGCUCCGGGAAUAAGGGCUGGGCAAGGCCGGUGGCAGCCGCCGCGGUAAUACCGGCGGCCCGAGUGGUGGCCACUAUUAUUGGGCCUAAAGCGGCCGUAGCCGGGCCCGUAAGUCCCUGGCGAAAUCCCACGGCUCAACCGUGGGGCUCGCUGGGGAUACUGCGGGCCUUGGGACCGGGAGAGGCCGGGGGUACCCCCGGGGUAGGGGUGAAAUCCUAUAAUCCCGGGGGGACCGCCAGUGGCGAAGGCGCCCGGCUGGAACGGGUCGACGGUGA